UACAUCCCCGACCCCGUCGUCUCCUUCGCGAACCCUGCCUGAAACCCUCGACAAACAACAGAAAUGGAAACCAUGCCAAAUCUCUCACCCAAACACCAAAUCAAACCUACGCUUGAAGCAAAGUACACCAAAAUUCACCCAAAUUCGUUCAUUUCUGCGGAUUCAAAGCACUACACAGAUAAAUAGAAGGCUUCUACAACAAUUAGUUCACGGCAGAAAUAGAGUCUUCAAUCCUAGAUUAGGAAAGAUCCCACUCCAUCAGGAUAUUUUCCAAAAACGCACAAGGAUUUCGAAUCUAAAAAGGAAAACACAACAACGAAAGGAAGUUCAGGCCCUAAAAUACUUUUGAAGAAGAGAUAAGUAUUUGAUAUUUCUUACGAACUAAGUACAGAAAUGCAAUAAGUUGUAAUAGUUUAGAGCUAAAUAUCUGAUUUUUAAUAGCAAACAAAACACAAUUGUGUGCUAUUUAAGUUCUAUUCAGUUUACGUUUACAACCCUCAUAUCUACAUUGUGCUAUUUAAUACCAUAUGUUGGAAACAUGACUAUUAAAUAUCAUUUUCAACUUAAACUGCAGUGUGAAUAUUAACUGUUAUGCCAUUUUUAAUCAUACAUACACCAGUUUGUUAAAUACGGUUAAGAUUAGUGGUAUGAUGUUUUGAUAUUAAAUAGGUAUCAUGCUGGUAUGAUGUUUUGAUAUUAAAUAGGUAUCAUGCUGGAAAUGGACACACUGUGUUAAUCUGGCUUUCAUUGCAUUGAAGAUGACAAAUUAAAAUUAUUUUCAGGAAGCCAUUAUCUGUUGUUGUACUUGAUAGGCCUUCCAGAUUGAGAGUUACAGUACAUUUCAUGACUUGAAUCAUAAAAUUAAGAGAGAAAGAACACAUACCUCUUCGUCGUGGAAGACGACUUCUUUGCUCUUUAUUUUGGACUAACCUUUUCUUUCCAUGACCAAGUAUGUAGGAAUGACCUUUAGCUUCACAGCACUCCUCCUGUACUUGAAGGAAGGUUGAUAACUCAUUCGCAAAACAGGACAAACCCAUACUGGAAUGCAAGUCUGAUAAUCAAAAGAAAUUUUAUUCUUUUGCGAAUUCGAUAGUUCAACAUGUAAUAUAUAGUCUGUAAUAUAAGUCUAACACUCAAAGAGUUCUGGAUGUACAUUAAUUCUCUUCUUAGUUCCCGAUAAAAGUCCCCUCGAUUCUCGAAUUGUUUUUACCGAUUCGACUUCCUAAACAAA